rnacentral:rRNA from 1 species
AUCAAGAAAGAAAGAGCUUGUGGUGGAUGACUUGGUUUCUGCAGGCGAAGAAGGGCGUGGCAAGCAGCGAUAUGCUCGGUGGAGGCGCAAGCAGCCUUUGAUCCCGAGAUUCCCCAAUGGGGCAACCCAUCCGAGGUAAUACUCGGAUACUCCGACAUAACGUCGGGGAGCUAACCCGGGGAAGUGAAACAUCUCAGUACCCGGAGGAAAAGAAACCGAAAGGGAUUCCCUUAGUAGCGGCGAGCGAACAGGGAAGAGCCCAAACUUACAGAGUGUUAAAGCCUGUGGGCCUUGCUCUGUAGGGGUAGUGGGGCUUAUCUGGAGAGGGCCACAGACCUCUCGGGAAGUUACCAAUCCUGACUAUAGUCGAAUGCCCUGGAAAGGGCAACCCGAGAAGGUGAAAGUCCUGUAGGCGAAAUAGUCAGGACUUCCUGGGAUAAGUUCCCAAGUACUGUCGGGCACGGGAAACCCGGCAGGAAUCCGGCCUGACCUCAGGCUAAGGCUAAAUACUCGCAGAAGACCGAUAGUGGACAAGUACCGUGAGGGAAAGUUGAAAAGAACCCAGGUGAUGGGAGUGAAAUAGAACCUGAAACCACAAGCUUACACAGCGGUCGGAGCCCCGAAUUUUCGGGGUGACGGCGUACCUUUUGCAUAAUGGGCCGGGGAGUUGUUAUCUACUGCUAGUCUAACCCCGACGCUACGUCGGGGGGAGGCGGAGCGAAAGCGAAUGGUCUGAAUAGGGCCGUGAGCAGUAGGUAACAGACCCGAAGCCGGACGAUCUACCCAUGGCCAGGGUGAACCCCGACGAAAGUCGGGGGGAGGCCCGAACCGGUGGUUGUUGAAAAAACCUCGGAUGAGCUGUGGGUAGGAGUGAAAGGCUAAUCAAGUUCGGUUAUUGCUGGUUCUCCCCGAAAUAGCUUUAGGGCUAGCCUCAAGGAUGGGCUUAGAAGGUAGAGCACAGGAUGGGCUAGGUAUCUCCUUAGGGGAUGCCAAACCCAACCUAACUCCGAAUAUCUAAGUUCCUUACCUUGGGAGUAAGACCAGCAGGGAUAAGCUUGUUGGUCGAGAGGGAAACAGCCCAGACCACCAGCUAAGGUCCCUAAGCUCAGGCUAAGUGGUAAAGGAUGUGGAACCACUUAGACAACCGGGAUGUUGGCUUAGAGGCAGCCAUCAUUUAAAGAGUGCGUAAUAGCUCACCGGUCGAGUGGUUCUGCGCCGAAAAUGAUCGGGGCUUAAGCCUGAUACCGAAGCUGUGGUUCUGUACCUAAACCUAAGGGUAUGGUACAGGAGGUAGGGGAGCAUUCUGUAAGCAGUGAAGUUCUGACGUAAGUCAGGGUGGAGCUUGCAGAAGCGAGAAUCCCGGCAUGAGUAGCGAAAAAGCCGAUGAAAAAUCGGCUCGCCGAAAGUCUAAGGUUUCUCCGGCAAUGUUAGUCAGCCGGAGGUUAGGCGGUCCCUAAGCUAAAUCCCGACGUAGCGUCGGGAGUAGGUGAUGGGGAAAGGCGUUAAUAUUCGCCUCCCACCUGUAGACGCUAACUUAAGAGGUGACGCUUAAGACGCGGUGGUCGGACGGUUGGAAGUGUCCGUCCCUAUACCCUUUGUGGUAUGGGGGGAGUCCAAGCUACGGCACGGGCGAACCCACUUAAGUCUUGAGCCAAGAAAUAGCCUCUUCUGUCUAUAAGGCAGGUCCACUUCGGUGGAUAAGUUGUCUAUAGGUGACCGUACCGCAAUCCAACACAGGUAGACUGCCAGAGAAUGGUAAGGCGCUCGGCAGAAAUCUCCCUAAGGAACUCGGCAAGUUAGCCCCGUACGUUCGCAAGAAGGGGUUCCCGACGUUACGUCGGGACGCAGUGAAGUGGCUCCCGAGACUGUUUAGCAAAAACACAGGUCCCUGCUUAACUCUUAAGAGGAAGUAUAGGGACUGACACCUGCCCAGUGCCGGAAGGUUAAGGGGAGAGGUUACCCCGAAUUUUCGGGGGAAGCUUCAAACCGAAGCCCCGGUGAACGGCGGCCGUAACUAUAAUUUGACCGUUGUAGUUACGCAAAUAAACCUGGCUAUAUGCGGGGAAGUCCGGUUAGUAUUUCUGGCUACCCCGAUAGAACAUCGGGGUAACAAAGCCAGAAUGCGGACUAUCCGCAGGGAAGACUCUUUUGAAGAUGUGCUGCCUUGAAGGACAAGGAGGGAAUAUGCAGAAGAUAAAAAUUAAUCCCAGGAUAGGAUGGUAUCUUGCUGGUUUUGCAGACGGAGAAGGUUCUUUCAAUGUGGUAUUUAGGCCGCGAAAGGAUUACAGACUUCCCUGGAAGAUUUCUUUGUGCUUUAACAUCUCCCAAAGAGAUAAGAUAAUCCUUACUUUGUUUAAGCGCUAUUUGGGUUGUGGAAGAUUGCGUCAGAGACGAGAUGGAGUUUGGUAUUACGAAGUUAAUAAUCUUUCAGCGAUAAUUGAGAAAGUUAUUCCCUUUUUUGAAAGGUUUAGAUUUCUCUCUGCAAAGAAAAAAAGAGAUUUUUCCAAGUUUAAAAAAAUUGCCUAUCUUGUAAGUAGCAAUAAACAUCUCACUCCUGAAGGAAUAAAAGAGAUUCUAAAGAUAUGCAGAGAUAUGAAUGAUGGAGGAAAACGAAAAUACGAGGAAGAGGUAAUUUUAAAACAUCUUCAAGAGAGUUCCCUCAGAGACCAUACGCCAGGCUCUACCCAGGCCUAGGUUCCCAAAUGAUUGGGAAUAUGUCGCCUUGCUUGGAGAGAAGAUAUGGUCCGAACUUAGUGGCGACACUAAGGUUCUCCUAAAAAGGAGGACGCUGUCCGUAACUUAUUGAGGGACAGUAAGUUAGGAACGGUCCUAAGGUAGCGAAAUUCCUUGUCAGGUAAGUUCUGACCCGCACGAAAGGUGUAACAACGGGAGCGCUGUCUCAGGGAGAGUGCCGGCGAAAUUGUAGUGGCGGUGAAGAUGCCGUCUACCCGCGGUUGGACGAAAAGACCCCGGAACCUUUACUGCAGGCUGGUAUUGAAUUUUGGUCCGCUAUGUGUAGGAUAGGUGGGAGACUGUGAAUCCCGGACGCUAGUUCGGGAGGAGUCGCCGGUGAAAUACCACCCUUAGCGUACUAAGGUUCUAACUCCGGAUUUUCGGAGGACAGUGCCAGUUGGGCAGUUUAACUGGGGCGGUUCCCUUCUAAAAGGUAACGAAGGGGCCCAAAGGUACCCUCAGUGUGCUUGGAAACCACACGUUGAGUGUAAGGGCAUAAGGGUGCUUGACUGUGAGGGAGACAUCCCGAGCAGGCAGGAAACUGGGGCCUAAUGAUCCGGUGGUAGCGUGAGGAAGCGCCAUCGCUCAACGGAUAAAAGGUAAUCCGGGGAUAACAGGCUUAUCAGGCCCGAGAGUUCACAUCGACGGCCUGGUUUGGCACCUCGAUGUCGGCUCGCCCUAUCCUGGGGCUGGAGAAGGUCCCAAGGGUCCGGCUGUUCGCCGGUUAAAAGGGCACGCGAGCUGGGUUCAGAACGUCGUGAGACAGUUCGGUCUCUAUCCACCGUGGGCGCUGGAUUCCUGAAGGGGGGCUGUUCCUAGUACGAGAGGACCGGAACAGGCGCACCUCCGGUGUUCCAGCUAUUCCGCCAGGAGUAAAGGCUGGGUAGCCGUGUGCGUUAGAGAUAAGCGCUGAAGGCAUCUAAGUGCGAAGCUCGCCCCAAGAUUAGGGAUCCCUUCCCGAUUUUUCGGGAUGUAGGGCACUCAGAGACUAUGAGGUUGAUAGGGUGCAGGUGUAAGUCCGGUAACGGAUUUAGCCGAGCACUACUAAUCGCCCAAUCGACUUGAUAU